rnacentral:rRNA from 1 species
GACAGAGGGGGCAAGCGUUAUUCGGAUUUACUGGGCGUAAAGGGCGCGUAGGUGGCUUCGCAAGUCUGGUGUGAAAACGCUACCGCUUAACGGAGCGAUUGCGCUGGAAACUGCGAAACUUGAGUUCGAGAGAGGCAGGCGGAAUACCUGGUGUAGCGGUGGAAUGCUUAGAUAUCAGGUGGAACACCCGAGGCGAAGGCGGCCUGCUGGCUCGAUACUGACACUGAGGCGCGAAAGCGUGGGGAGCAAACGGG